GUAGGCGAUGGAUAACAGGUUGAUAUUCCUGUACCACCUAUAAUCGUUUUAAUCGAUGGGGGGACGCAGUAGGAUAGGCGAAGCGUGCGAUUGGAUUGCACGUCUAAGCAGUAAGGCUGAGUAUUAGGCAAAUCCGGUACUCGUUAAGGCUGAGCUGUGAUGGGGAGAAGACAUUGUGUCUUCGAGUCGUUGAUUUCACACUGCCGAGAAAAGCCUCUAGAUAGAAAAUAGGUGCCCGUACCGCAAACCGACACAGGUAGUCAAGAUGAGAAUUCUAAGGUGAGCGAGCGAACUCUCGUUAAGGAACUCGGCAAAAUGACCCCGUAACUUCGGGAGAAGGGGUGCUCUUUAGGGUUAACGCCCAGAAGAGCCGCAGUGAAUAGGCCCAAGCGACUGUUUAUCAAAAACACAGGUCUCUGCUAAACCGUAAGGUGAUGUAUAGGGGCUGACGCCUGCCCGGUGCUGGAAGGUUAAGAGGAGUGGUUAGCUUCUGCGAAGCUACGAAUCGAAGCCCCAGUAAACGGCGGCCGUAACUAUAACGGUCCUAAGGUAGCGAAAUUCCUUGUCGGGUAAGUUCCGACCCGCACGAAAGGCGUAACGAUUUGGGCACUGUCUCAACGAGAGACUCGGUGAAAUCAUAGUACCUGUGAAGAUGCAGGUUACCCGCGACAGGACGGAAAGACCCCGUGGAGCUUUACUGUAGCCUGAUAUUGAAAUUCGGCACAGCUUGUACAGGAUAGGUAGGAGCCUUUGAAACGUGAGCGCUAGCUUACGUGGAGGCGCUGGUGGGAUACUACCCUAGCUGUGUUGGCUUUCUAACCCGCACCACUUAUCGUGGUGGGAGACAGUGUCAGGCGGGCAGUUUGACUGGGGCGGUCGCCUCCUAAAAGGUAACGGAGGCGCUCAAAGGUUCCCUCAGAAUGGUUGGAAAUCAUUCAUAGAGUGUAAAGGCAUAAGGGAGCUUGACUGCGAGACCUACAAGUCGAGCAGGGUCGAAAGACGGACUUAGUGAUCCGGUGGUUCCGCAUGGAAGGGCCAUCGCUCAACGGAUAAAAGCUACCCCGGGGAUAACAGGCUUAUCUCCCCCAAGAGUUCACAUCGACGGGGAGGUUUGGCACCUCGAUGUCGGCUCAUCGCAUCCUGGGGCUGUAGUCGGUCCCAAGGGUUGGGCUGUUCGCCCAUUAAAGCGGUACGCGAGCUGGGUUCAGAACGUCGUGAGACAGUUCGGUCCCUAUCCGUCGUGGGCGUAGGAAAUUUGAGAGGAGCUGUCCUUAGUACGAGAGGACCGGGAUGGACAUACCUCUGGUGUACCAGUUGUCGUGCCAACGGCAUAGCUGGGUAGCUAUGUGUGGACGGGAUAAGUGCUGAAAGCAUCUAAGCAUGAAGCCCCCCUCAAGAUGAGAUUUCCCAACUUCGGUUAUAAGAUCCCUCAAAGAUGAUGAGGUUAAUAGGUUCGAGGUGGAAGCAUGGUGACAUGUGGAGCUGACGAAUACUAAUCGAUCGAAGACUUAAUCAA
rnacentral:rRNA from 1 species